UACGUAGGGUGCAAGCGUUGUCCGGAAUUAUUGGGCGUAAAGAGCUCGUAGGCGGUCUGUCGCGUCGGCUGUGAAAUCCCGAGGCUCAACCUCGGGUCUGCAGUCGAUACGGGCAAACUAGAGUAUUGCAGGGGAGACUGGAAUUCCUGGUGUAGCGGUGGAAUGCGCAGAUAUCAGGAGGAACACCGAUGGCGAAGGCAGGUCUCUGGGCCGCAACUGACGCUGAGGAGCGAAAGCAUGGGGAGCGAACAGG
rnacentral:rRNA from 1 species